rnacentral:rRNA from 1 species
UACGUAGGUGGCAAGCGUUGUCCGGAUUUACUGGGCGUAAAGAGCGCGCAGGCGGUCGAUUUAGUCGUGUGUGAAAGCCCCCGGCUCAACUGGGGAGGGUCACGCGAUACUGAUCGACUCGAAGGCAGGAGAGGGUAGUGGAAUUCCCGGUGUAGUGGUGAAAUGCGUAGAUAUCGUGAGGAACACCAGAGGCGAAGGCGGCUACCUGGACAAUUGCUGACGCUCAGGCACGAAAGCGUGGGGAGCAAAAGGG